GGCAACAUCGUGCAAUUCAGGAACGUCUUCCACUCGAUGGAGGCGCCAUGUUCGCUUAAUCGCUCCGCUGUGUAUUGAAGCGUGUUUGCGGCGCAGUUGAACCACGAGCGAGGCAGAGAAAACACAAACCAUGGCUGUGUCCGCUAUCAGGAAUUGGUGGAACACCCAUCAGAGGGACGGAUCGGACAGCAAUGGCUCCAUCGCAGGGGAAGAUGAGGAGGAAUUGGCAGGAAGGAGGCAGCGGGCUGUGAAUCUAAGUCAGACUCUGAGGACCACGCAGCUUCUCGUCAACUUCGACGGUGGCCGACCUGUUUUGAGUUUCAGGGCUCCGCCGGACCUGGUUACCUUCCCAUCCAUAUCCUGCCCCCGUUGGCCCGUAGAGUGUGAGGUCAUCAGCGACAUCAUCC
ensembl:lncRNA